UGGGGAAUAUUGCACAAUGGGGGAAACCCUGAUGCAGCAACGCCGCGUGAGUGAAGAAGUAUUUCGGUAUGUAAAGCUCUAUCAGCAGGGAAGAAAAUGACGGUACCUGACUAAGAAGCACCGGCUAAAUACGUGCCAGCAGCCGCGGUAAAACGUAGGUCACAAGCGUUGUCCGGAAUUACUGGGUGUAAAGGGAGCGCAGGCGGGAGAACAAGUUGGAAGUGAAAUCCAUGGGCUCAACCCAUGAACUGCUUUCAAAACUGUUUUUCUUGAGUAGUGCAGAGGUAGGCGGAAUUCCCGGUGUAGCGGUGGAAUGCGUAGAUAUCGGGAGGAACACCAGUGGCGAAGGCGGCCUACUGGGCACCAACUGACGCUGAGGCUCGAAAGUGUGGGUAGCAAACAGGAUUAGAUACCCUGGUAGUCCACACCGUAAACGAUGAUUACUAGGUGUUGGAGGAUUGACCCCUUCAGUGCCGCAGUUAACACAAUAAGUAAUCCACCUGGGGAGUACGACCGCAAGGUUGAAACUCAAAGGAAUUGACGGGGGCCCGCACAAGCAGUGGAGUAUGUGGUUUAAUUCGAAGCAACGCGAAGAACCUUACCAGGUCUUGACAUCCGAUGCAUAGCACAGAGAUGUGUGAAAUCCUUCGGGACAUCGAGACAGGUGGUGCAUGGUUGUCGUCAGCUCGUGUCGUGAGAUGUUGGGUUAAGUCCCGCAACGAGCGCAACCCUUAUUGCCAGUUACUACGUUAAGAGGACUCUGGCGAGACUGCCGUUGACAAAACGGAGGAAGGUGGGGAUGACGUCAAAUCAUCAUGCCCCUUAUGACUUGGGCUACACACGUGCUACAAUGGCGUAAACAAAGUGAAGCGAAGUCGUGAGGCCAAGCAAAUCACAAAAAUAACGUCUCAGUUCGGAUUGUAGUCUGCAACUCGACUACAUGAAGCUGGAAUCGCUAGUAAUCGCAGAUCAGAAUGCUGCGGUGAAUACGUUCCC
rnacentral:rRNA from 1 species